ACCUGGGUGGCUCAGUUGGUUGAGCGUCUGACUUCGGCCCAGGUCAUGAUCUCGCGGUCCGUGGGUUCGAGCCCCGCAUCGGGCU
rnacentral:tRNA from 1 species